rnacentral:rRNA from 1 species
AACGAACGCUGGCGGCAGGCUUAACACAUGCAAGUCGAACGCCCCGCAAGGGGAGUGGCAGACGGGUGAGUAACGCGUGGGAACGUGCCCUUCGCUUCGGAAUAGCCCCGGGAAACUGGGAGUAAUACCGGAUACGCCGUAUUGGGAAAGAUUUAUCGGCGAAGGAUCGGCCCGCGUUGGAUUAGAUAGUUGGAGGUGUAAUGGACCCCCAAGGCUACGAUCAAUAGCUGGUCUGAGAGGAUGAUCAGCCACACUGGGACUGGGACACGGCCCGGACUCCUACGGGGGGCAGCAGUGGGGAAUCUUGGACAAUGGGCGCAAGCCUGAUCCAGCCAUGCCGCGUGAGUGAAGAAGGCCUUAGGGUUGUAAAACUCUUUCGCCGGAGAAGAUAAUGACGGUAUCCGGAGAAGAAGCCCCGGCUAACUUCGUGCCAGCCGCCGCAGUAAGAC